UGGGUCUCACACCCUGACCCACGGAUCAUUGCAGUCAGCGGCAAUGCCAUCAAGUCACAAAUAUGCGAUUGUUCUGAAUUGGACCAAGAGCUUGGGUCCUUGAUCGUCCGGUGAAUUGGACAGAUGGAGUCACAUGCACACCGUGCCAGCCCAGACGAACUUUACCGGUUGCUCCUUGAGCCUGAUUUUGCGGGGAAAAUACCACAAGAAUCAUGUCAAUACAAAGGCAAUUCAUCGGAAAUGAAGUGAAGUGCAACAUCGCAAACUGUCGGAUGGUUACAAUCCCCGCCGUCAUGCAACAUGGUUGGUGCUGCUUCAACUGGGACAUGAUGGCCCACGUGAUAACCAUAAUGGACCCAAUGGCAUACCAGACAGAGGACACAACAAGGAAAACUUGCCUUAUGUACGAGGCCGACAAGAUACAUGACGCUCUUUUUGAUUGCAUUGAAGAAUUCUUCACUGAGUGGCACUGCAGCAGACAUUCAUGGACGAAGAAGACACCUCUAUUGUCUACCACA